AUCAAAAUGGCAGAGUGGCUAUGCCUCCGGCUGCAACCCGGAGCUACGUGAGUUCGAUUCUCACUUCUGACUUGAAA
rnacentral:tRNA from 1 species